rnacentral:rRNA from 1 species
GAUGAACGCUGGCGGCGUGCCUAAUACAUGCAAGUCGAGCGAACAGACGAGAGUGCUUGCACUCUCUGACGUUAGCGGCGGACGGGUGAGUAACACGUGGGUAAACUACCUAUUAGACUGGGAUAACUUCGGGAAACCGGAGCUAAUACCGGAUAAUAUUUAGCUUCGCAUGACGCAAUAGUGAAAGACGGUUCUGCUGUCACUUAUAGAUGGACCCGCGGUGUAUUAGCUAGUUGGUGAGGUAACGGCUCACCAAGGCAACGAUACAUAGCCGACCUGAGAGGGUGAUCGGCCACACUGGGACUGAGACACGGCCCAGACUCCUACGGGAGGCAGCAGUAGGGAAUCUUCCGCAAUGGGCGAAAGUCUGACGGAGCAAUGCCGCGUGAGUGAAGAAGGUUUUCGGAUCGUAAAACUCUGUUGUAAGGGAAGAACAAGUACAUUAUUAACUGAACGUGUCUUGACGGUACCUUACCAGAAAGCCACGGCUAACUACGUG